CCUACGGGCGGCAGCAGUGGGGAAUAUUGGACAAUGGGCGAAAGCCUGAUCCAGCCAUGCCGCGUGUGUGAAGAAGGCCUUCGGGUUGUAAAGCACUUUCAGUGGGGAAGAAAGCCUUGGGGCUAAUACCCUCGAGGAAGGACAUCACCCACAGAAGAAGCACCGGCUAACUCCGUGCCAGCAGCCGCGGUAAUACGGAGGGUGCGAGCGUUAAUCGGAAUUACUGGGCGUAAAGCGCGCGUAGGCGGUCUGAUAAGCCGGUUGUGAAAGCCCCGGACUCAACCUGGGAACGGCAUCCGGAACUGUCAGGCUAGAGUGCAGGAGAGGAAGGUAGAAUUCCCGGUGUAGCGGUGAAAUGCGUAGAGAUCGGGAGGAAUACCAGUGGCGAAGGCGGCCUUCUGGACUGACACUGACGCUGAGGUGCGAAAGCGUGGGUAGCAAACAGGAUUAGAUACCCUUGUAGUC
rnacentral:rRNA from 1 species